rnacentral:lncRNA from 1 species
UGCCUGUCAAAUUUUAUGUUUAUUAUUAAGUUUAAGCCUGUUUAGGUAGUUCAAAUCAAAUACAAGAAAUGACAUCAUGUCAUCAUAGCUACUAAACUUUUUUCACAGUUAAAAUGAGGUAAUCUGGCUUUACAAUGUUUUAGGUUGAAUUAAGCAGUUUAAUCCAGGUUACAAGAGAAAAGGAGAGAGACAUAUUUGAAUGAUUAUUUCCAAGGGGAAAAAAAGCCACAUGAAAUGCAUAUGAAUAUUGAAUAAGAUAAUUAUUCCACAAAAUACAUAUCAGAGUGUUUAGCAGCAUAUGUGCAAAUUUUUCACUUGAAUCUUAAAAUUGGUAUAAUUUAUUAUUUUUUUUAACUUAGCAAACAGCAUGCAUUGUCAUAUAAAACAAGCAUAGAGGACAAAAUAGAAUAUCUAAUAGAGCAUUUACUAGAUUCACAUUAUCAUCUGAACUGACCAAGACUUAUUUUCACUAUGACAAUCUCUGUAUUUUCUAAUCGCUAAUCAGUGAGGCCAAGUAUUACAGUUGGCAUAUACACAAUACAAAUAAUGCAUACACGGUCUGUAUGUAAUACUUAUUAGGGUGCAAAUUAGUAAGGAUAAUAGCAGCAAGGUACUGCUUUUCUAGAAUAUGUUCUAAGAUUUAUCGUAUUGAUACUACCUAUUUAUGACUGAUGUGUUAUUAGUGCUAUAAACUAAUAACAAAUGUAAAACUGCAAAUAUACAAAGCUAUGGAAGGCCUAUUUGAUUUUUCAAAGUGCUGUGCUUCUCACUGGGCUCAAGGCUUGUGAGCAAGCCCCAACUAUUUGGAUGAAGUACUGGCCCCCAUUUCUGGGCUCCAAGCAGAUAAAGUUCUAGUGAUGGGGUGGGAGUAGGGGUGCAGAAUAAUGCAUCUGAGGAGAGUAAGGUGCAAAACCCACUGCGAUAAGAGUGCAUUUGCACACCAUUGAAUGCAUGUGCUUUUCAUUGUUAAGUUUUACCAGCAUCCUGUGAUUAACAGUGUUCAGCUGAUGACUAAGGAUGGCCAGGAGGCAAGAGGAAGAGGAAUAUUUCAUGAAAGAGAUGGGAGGGGAAGAGAUGGAAAAUGCCUCCAGAUAAUUGAUGGGGGCACUCAGUGGGAAAGAAUUCCCGAUUAAGAAAAGGAAAAUAUUUUAUCCAAACUAUGUGGCUUAGAAACUAGUUUGAAAAGCCCUAAGAACAAGUUUUGUUGGAGAAAAGGCUAGAAUGCUAUAUCUACUGCAGGAUAGAAAGAGUUAUCUUAGAAUACUUGCACAGGGUCUAAGACAAAAUCAAUAGCAUUUUGUUCUGCACUCUUCUGGUUUAGGGCCAAUUCAGUGAUAACGGUGCUAUUAGUAUCACUAUUUCUAGCAGAAAGCUAGAAGCCAGGGAUAAGGAUAUAGUGGAUCUAGAAGCAGUAAAAAUCUGUUCAGUAUCAUUUGGAAUGAAGGGUAAAGUUUCCAGCUAAAUCGCUUAUCACCCAACUCCUGUGUGUCCCAAGGCAACAUCUGUGAGCAACGAAGCUCUGGCAGCAAAAAACGAGGAAGCGAUCUGAGGCAGAGGGCAGAGAUGCACAUGGAAGGUAGUGGGACUUAGGGCCUCAGCCAUGUCCCAUGCAAAAUCAACUUCUUGUCAGCUUGGACAUGUUAUCAAUUUCUAUUCACUUCCUUCUGGCAUAACAUUACUCAGCAUGUAGUGGGGAAAGCUCAUCUCACGAGCUCAGAUAUUUCUUUCAGCCCUGUUCACCUCAUUUGACAAAUCAUGAGAGGUGCCACUGAUGGGCUGGGUCUGUCACCCUAAGCCAGUCUCUUGAGAAAUUAGUCCAAGGAGCAUUUCUCUACAGAUGCCACAUGAGGAAGGUUACCACAACUGUGUACCCUCUGAGCAACUGUGUGCCCUCUCAGCAUUUAGCUUAAUUAUUAGGGACCUGAUAUUUUGGGGGAGCUAUUCAACUGUGAUUUGCAAAACUGCAGACAUCAUCUUUAUUCCAUAUGAACAAACCAAGGCAGAUGUAGCACAGGAUCAUAGAUUUGCUCUGCAAAGGGAGGCAAGUCUCACGGCUGUGCCUAGAUCAUUAGCCCUCAGCUUAUGAUGUUUCCCAGAACCUACCAGAAAAAUCUGCAGUCAGCCAAUGAAGAGCAUUACCAGAACUUCAGCUGUGGCCUGAACUAGCUCUGCAAGAUGGCCUGAGUUUGUGUAGUACUUUUGCCUCCUAGGAAAAGAUGCAGUUCAAUCUCAGUCAGUCUCUUCUGCUUCUCCACCUUCAGUUUAGCACUAAGCCUCCUAGCUGGGUUGUAUGUAAUCACGUCUCUGUGGGCAGCACUUUCUUACAGUAAGAUUCAGGAAAAAACAAAAGUAGAAAAACCUGACACAUCACAAAACAUUAUUUAAUCCCAGAAUGCUCCACUUCAUUGUCUUCUUGAACAGAAAGAUAAACUUUCUGAUGUAAAUAUAAGGUCAUGUUAGAAGAAGUAGGAUUCUUAAGAGUGAGCAUUACCUGGGGUCAGAUCUUGUGCUUCCCUUUGAGUUUACAUAAAAUACUGGGUUUGGGCUGUGGCUUAACUGUUCUUAAGAAUUCGGGGGUCUGGACUCAGCCCUAAGGAAAAUAAUUAAACUUAAUUACCAUGGAGUCCAAUAUGGAAAAUAUAUAAUAUUUUUGACAUAACUCUCUUAGAUCUGCCAUUAAUUUAAAAUUUAAUCCUCAAUCAUUUCUCUCCCUUCCAUCUUGACCUCUGUCUCCAAAACUAAGAUAUAUUCUAUACCCACAAAACCACAGGAGUACCUCUAAAGGGCUCAAAGUUCAAGCCUUUAAACACUGCUCUACUCUUGACUGUAGCCUGUGACUGUCUCCUUGCCACAAAGCCAUGGAAGUGUGGCCAUGUGGGAAGUGGUUCAGAGGGCCCAUGAAAACCUCAGUCUACAUUUCAGAAUAAACAUGGCCCCAAAUCCUGUGAAACUAAACUCCUCUUUGGCUCAAUCAAGUAGCUUUUCAGCUGAUCUUGAACUUAAUUCUGAGCAAAUAUGAUAGCCACGUUUGAUCUGAAAGUUCCCCAGAACUUGGGAGCAUAAGUGGUAUGAUUGGGUCACCAUUUUUUAUUGUUGGCAGUUGCAGAAUGAGUCAUAGACCUAAAGUCUCUUUUCCCUCUGUCCCAUCACCGCAUCUUCUGCUUGGCCUGAGGUCGAGGAGCAGAACACACACAUCCUUUACAAUAUGCUAAGCAGCACGGUCCUGCGGCAGAGUAUUCUGCCAACGCAAGGGUAUUUAUCAAGAGUGAACUGUAAAAGAUCCUCCUCCUAUCUCCCAGAACUCCUGCACAAAAUUUCAACAUGGGAGCCAGGCUGGUGACCCAAAGCUGCAAAAAAGGAGUGAGGGCCUGCAGACUCCACAUAGAGCAAGAUGCCACACAUGCAACCUUGGUACCAUUUUUCUGUGCUUCUUUGUCAUGCAAAUGCUGAGGUGCACUUAAAUGUUGCAACCCAAGUGAAGUGCAGCUAGACAUUUUAAAACUAAAGGAGAAAAUCAAGUAAACAUUUCACGAAACAGUCAGCAGCCCUUGGGUGUCAUUGACAUCCUGGGUAGACACACCUGGCCUCAUAGCACCAAACACCUGGACAAAGCUGAGGCUCAAAUAAAACAGAGCAGAAGAGCUCUCCUCUUGCCUCCUUAUCUCUUUGCCAAGUAAUGAAGGAUUGGAAGGGGGUGAAAUGAUCUAGUCCCUAACAAUUGAUCAAGUAUUCAAAUCAAGACCAAAAUGAAACAAGACAACCAAAAAAUGAAACCCUGAGGGUAGGCCAGGGAAUUUCAGAGCUUGCCACGGGACUUUAAUAUCAGAAUUGAAGGAAAAAUUGAGAAAGUGAGGGUACUGGCUUUCUCUCUCCUUUCCAGAGAAGGCCCUAAAAAUUUGACAAUAAAACCCUAGCAAUCUCUCUGGAAAGGGAGUCAAAUGCAAGGAAAGGAAAAAUUAAAUCAUAUUUCCCCAGAGGCAUCUGUGUUGUGACCUCUUCAAGCUGUGGAAGCUAAAGGUCAGGGCUUUAAUUACUUGAAGCUAAGUAAAGGCUGGAAGACUUAGCCCUGGGGGUGUGCGUGUGCUCUGAGCAGCUCAGACAGGACACACCCCUCUGCAGGCAACAUGCAAGGUCCAGCCAUAAGCAUCGGAGGAUGGGAGUGGAAAGCUACCGGGAGGUGGACUGACCACCUGUCUAAAUGCGCAUACGGAUGGGAUUCCAUGUUCUUCCGCUUUAAGAAGCCAGAAGCUAACACCUCCUGGGGGCUUCUCAGAGAAGAGUUCUGCAGAGUGCAUGCACAUAGAUGCCCAGUUUUCUUUCUGGCUCCUUCUUUUUCAUCCUUCUUCUGAAAGGUUCCCUCAAGAAAUGAGAGCUCUUCAUGACCCAUCUCGUCUUCUGUUUCAGUGCGGUAGCCUGGUGGUGGCUUCGCUGGUCUGGACAACACCCAUGUGUGAAUUCGGCCCCCCGCCACGACUGAGGGAACCGGGCCGUCCACAGCGGCAGGGUCAGAGGUCACUCACGGUCCUGAGAUGCAUGGUCCUGUUGACCGGAGCAGGACCGUGGCAGCAUCUGGCCUGGGUGAGAAAAGUUCAGGAAGCUCUUUUGUGAGUGCUCUUGAGGUAAGAAGCACUGGAGAUACUUAAUCUAUAAAAUAAAUAGAUGAAUAAAUAAAUAAAUAAAACAACACAAGAGGGCUUUUUAUGGAUAAGCACCUCUUAUAAUAAUAAUACUAAAAAAAAUCCCCGCUUGAGUUUCCAAGCCCUCCUGCAGUGGUGAUUAGUCGGCUCAAAACAACCUGCAGAAACUAGAACAAUCAAGAUACGAACUGGAAAUAUUCCAACACACUGGGAAUUUCUUGCUUGAUGACACGCCGUCAUCCUCAGUGUCCCCGAGGUAGUCUUGUUUUCAAGGAGUUACAGAACGGCUCCAAACCCGCUUGGAGCCGCCUCCUGAAAUCCAUUGCACUUUCCCACGCGUCCUGUGUCUGCCUCCACGGUGUCACCGACAAGGCGCCUUCGCUUAGUAUUGUGUCCCACGAGGCAGACUCGAGUCCUAGGCAGCAACAAUGAAAUGCCAUUCCAAGAUCUGGCUUCAAGGUCCCAUCCACAGAGGACUUUGCCAGAACGAUGCAGCCGCUUGCCUAGCAGCUAUCUGGGGGAAAGCUACAGAAUUAAAUCAAAGACAUCUGUCAUGCAACAGACAUGCGUGUCUAUCUCUGGUGGGCCCCAGGCUGAAAAAGAUGUCCCAUCACUGCUCCUUUCACUUUUAAGUAGGGGCCGAAAGAGAGGAAUCAGUGUUUUAAAACUGGGAAACACUUUCCUGAUACCGAGGACAAUACGCACUGUUUAUCUAAAGAAUGAAGGGGUCCAGUUACCAAGCAUAAGCACUGAGAACAACCCGUGGCUGUAAUACCUUGGUGACAAAUACAUCUUACUCUCAGGGAAGAAGUGCUGACGCUCAGCACGCCUAGGAAAAACUGGUUCUUGACCUCUCUGCCCUCAGAGCUCCAGGCUGGUGACAGAGCUGCCACACAGGGCAGUCGACACCUGCCAUAAACCAUCCUUUUGAGCAGGAGUGACCUCCUGCUUUAGUCUUCUCUCUGGCUCAAAUACAGCAUCCUGGAAGACAACGGGCCACUCAA